GUUCCUGAGCUAACCGUCCGCGACGUUCACAGCGCGAGCUCCCUCUGCAAAAUGUACUUCAGGGAGCUCCCGACCCCCCUGCUGACCGACCAGCUGUACGACAAGUUCUCGGAUGCUGUUGGUGCCACUACGGAGGAGGAGCGGCUGGUCAGAAUGCGGGACACCAUCCAGCAGCUGCCCGCUCCUCACUACAGGACCCUGGCGU